UCCAUAAGACGGUGAAUUAGACUUCUAAAAAUUUUCAGUUAAUACAGUUUUGGCCAAUCCUUUAUAAAUAAAAUUUUGGUCAAAAUUAAAUGAGAUAAUAGAUGACAUGACUUAUUUUAAUAGUAUUUUUGCCACUUAACAUGGCCAUAUCAUUUAAAAAUAAAAGAAUAAAUUCUAAAGUUAAAAGCUAGUUGACUAAGAGAAAAAAAAAAUCUGGAUUAAUGAAGAAAAAGAUAUUUCUUCUUAUUUAUCGUCUUCUAUUUGGCUUUAAUGGCAAAAGUUAUAAGAAGAAGAAUCAAAAGUUGAAAGCUUAGUAGGAAGGAGAUUGAAGUCGACGACUUCAUAAGUAGUGGAGUCGACAAUCGAAAAUAGCCUUAGAUGAUAAAAAUUGCUCAAAGAAAGUUCAACACCACAAAACUUUAAAACAACGCUUCUCCUUCCUCCAAUGACGGCAACAACUGAUUUUUGUCCCAAUUAACUCGUCUUCUCGCAGGCUUUUAUUUUGUGGUAGCAUUACCAUCUGAUUUGGUUGAAAACAUAAAGUUAAAGAGAAAGAGAAAAUCUGCAACAUAUAUUGGAAUAAGUGAACAGCCAACACACCAAGAGAAUGACUAUGACCAAGGAAGCAAGAAUAAACUUGAGGAGAUUGUCAAUCCAAUUAUUCUGCCUCAAGGAUCUAUAGUAAGAUCAUGAGCUAAGAAGAUUCAACAAGCGUUAAUUAGUCAUCUACAAGAUUUGGUGAAUUUGGCUUGUAAUGGGCUGCAAGGAAUCCAAGGCUUGGAGACAAUAUCAAAUAAAGUUAUUUACAACUUAAUUCAAGUUCAACUUCAAAAUGGGCUUACUUAAGUUUGAUUUUUAUUUUUUAGCCUUGUUAAUUGAGUGGAAUUAAAUGUUUAUAUUUUUAUCAUAAUGGGCUGUUUAAAACGUGUCAAUUUAGAAGCUUAUUAAUUUUAUUGCUUUAAUAAUGGGCUGUCCAAAUUUGUUUAUGUUAAAACACAUAAGUUGAGUUUAUUUAUUUUAGGGUAUGAGUUUUUAGGUCUUAUAAAGGCUAUAUAAAGGUCUAAAACGAAUUUCAUGAUUGAUGAAUUACAACCAAAAGGCUGUUUACUUUUGUCUUUAUGUUCUUGAGUAGAAUACAUGCUAAAGGAACAUUUAAGUAGGUUGAUCACCUUCUUGUAGAGUGUUUUGAAUCUCGAACUUAGAAACAAAUUUUCUUUAUUCUAGAUCUUUGAUAAUCUUUCUAAGUAAUAUGAAUUCUAGCCUUCUUAGGGGUUAAGAUUGAAUUGUUAUUGGGGUUUUCAAGUUAAUGUUGUGAGGAUCCGUAAUAAUCAAAGAAGUUAUCAGGCUUAUUUUUGGAGAUUCCGUAUCAUUUGGUAUCAGAGCUUUGGUUGUAAAUAAGAUUUUAUCCUUAACAA